UGUCCACACAUUGCGCAACCUGACGCUAUGCGUACAGUUUGGUUGGCAUGAAAAUCGGGCUUGUCAAACAUUUCAUUUCGGUGUGGAUUUCAGAGAGUGAAGCCGUUCGGAAGAGGUUGCUCGUCGCGUCGCUGCGAAGAAAAGAUAUAAAAACUGUUAUACUGAACGUGCACUAGUGAGGAUAAAAAAUAUAAGCUACAUUUAAAUCGCGCAUCUCUUUCGACGUGAGGAAGGAAGGAAGAAAAUAGUGACUAUUUCCUUUUCCAUUGCUUCCCAAUCAUGACGACUGACAUUUCCGUAGUACGAUGGGACCCUAGCCAGGGUCCGGGAAAUGAAUUUAUCGAAGAUAUCGAAUACGACGGAGGAAACUCCAGUUCGCGUUUAUUCGAACGAUCACGCAUCAAAGCGUUAGCAGAGGAACGUGAAAGUGUUCAAAAAAAGACAUUCACAAAAUGGGUCAAUUCGCACCUGGUGCGGGUGAACAGUCCGAUCAAAGACCUGUACGUCGAUAUGCGCGAUGGCAAGAAUUUGAUCAAGCUGCUCGAGGUACUGUCUGGCGAGCGGUUGCCCCGGCCAACGAAGGGUAAAAUGCGCAUCCACUGUCUGGAGAAUGUGGACAAAGCGCUGCAGUUUCUGCGCGAACAGCGUGUCCAUUUGGAAAAUAUCGGUUCGCACGAUAUUGUCGAUGGUAACGCUAGCCUGAACCUGGGUUUGAUCUGGACAAUCAUUCUGCGCUUCCAGAUUCAAGAUAUCACUAUAGAGGAAACGGACAACAAAGAGACCAAAUCCGCCAAGGAUGCUUUGCUGCUGUGGUGUCAAAUGAAAACGGCCGGCUACCAUAAUGUGAACGUGCGCAACUUUACCACCUCGUGGCGCGACGGGCUGGCGUUCAACGCGAUCAUACACAAGCACCGGCCGGACUUGAUACAGUUCGACAAGCUGUCGAAGACAAACCCGAUCCAGAACCUGAACAAUGCGUUCAACGUCGCCGAGGAGAAGCUUGGCCUGACGAAGCUGCUCGACGCGGAGGACAUCUUCGUCGACCAUCCGGACGAGAAGUCGAUCAUUACGUACGUCGUGACGUACUAUCACUACUUCAGCAAGCUGAAGCAGGAGACGGUGCAGGGCAAGCGUAUCGGCAAGGUGGUCGGCAUUGCGAUGGACAACGAUCGCAUGAUCAACGAGUACGAGUCGUUGACGAGCGAGCUGCUGAAGUGGAUCGAGGUGACGAUCGUGCAGCUGGGCGAUCGCCAUUUCGUCAACUCGCUGGUGGGCGUGCAGCAGCAGCUGGCCCAGUUCUCCAACUACCGCACGGUCGAAAAGCCACCGAAGUUCGUCGAGAAGGGUAAUCUGGAGGUGCUGCUCUUCACGCUCCAGUCCAAGAUGAGAGCAAACAAUCAAAAGCCGUACACGCCCAAGGAGGGUAAGAUGAUUUCCGACAUCAACAAGGCCUGGGAGCGGCUGGAGAAGGCCGAGCACGAGCGGGAGCUGGCGCUGCGCGAGGAGCUGAUCCGGCAGGAGAAGCUGGAGCAGCUUGCGGCCCGUUUCAACCGCAAAGCUACGAUGCGUGAAACCUGGCUGUCGGAGAACCAGCGUCUGGUCAGCACGGAUAACUUUGGGUUCGAUCUGGCCGCUGUCGAAGCGGCCGCCAAGAAGCACGAAGCCAUCGAGACGGACAUCUUUGCGUACGAGGAGCGUGUGCAGGCGGUCGUCGCGGUGUGCAACGAGCUGGAGGCGGAAAAGUAUCACGAUAUCGAGCGCAUCGCUGCCCGCAAGGAUAAUGUGCUGCGCCUGUGGAACUACCUGAUCGAGCUGCUGCGCGCGAGACGCAUGCGCCUCGAGUUCUCGAUUCAGCUGCAGCAAAACUUCCAGGAGAUGAUCUACAUUCUCGACUCGAUGGAGGAGAUCAAGCAGCGCCUGCUGACGGACGACUACGGCAAGCAUCUGAUGGGCGUAGAAGAUCUGCUGCAAAAGCAUUCGCUCGUCGAGGCGGACAUCAAUGUGCUGGGCGAUCGGGUGAAGCAGGUGGUGCAAAACUCGCAGAAGUUCCUGGUCGACGAGGAGGACAACUACAAACCGUGCGAUCCGGCGAUCAUUGUCGAUCGCGUGCAGCGUCUGGAGGAUGCGUACGCCGAGCUGUGCAAGCUUGCGGUGGAGCGUCGCUCGCGGCUGGAGGAGAACCGCAAGCUGUGGCAGUUCUACUGGGAUAUGGCCGACGAGGAGAACUGGAUCAAGGAGAAGGAGCAGAUCGUGUCGGCGGAUGAGAUUGGGCACGAUUUGACGACGGUCAAUUUGCUGCUGUCCAAGCACAAGGCGCUGGAGUCGGAGAUCCAAUCGCACGAGCCGCAGCUGAUGGCGGUGAGCGAGGUGGGCGAUGAGCUGGUACGCCGCGGACACUUCGGUGCCGAUCGUAUCGACGAGCGGCUGAAGGAGAUCAUGGCCAUGUGGAGCAACCUGCGCCAGCUGACAGACAACCGGCGCAAGCGGUUAGAGGAUGCCGUCGACUACUUCCAGCUGUUUGCCGACGCGGAUGACAUCGAUAACUGGAUGUUGGACGCGCUGCGCCUAGUGUCGUCCGAGGAUGCGGGUCGCGACGAGGCAAAUGUGCAGAGCUUGCUGAAGAAGCACAAGGAUGUGGCGGACGAGCUGAAGAACUACGCCGAAACGAUCGAGCAGCUGCAUGCACAGGCCGACCGUUUGACGCUGAACCCUCCGGAGCAGGAGAAGGUUCGCGAACGUCUUGCCGCAAUCGAUGCACGCUACAAGGAGCUGAUGGAGCUGGCCAAACUGCGCAAGCAGCGCCUGCUGGAUGCUCUCAGCCUGUACAAACUGAUUUCCGAAAGCGACGGCGUGGAACAGUGGAUCGGCGAGAAGGAGCGCAUGCUGCAGACGAUGGUCCCGGGCAAGGACAUCGAGGAUGUGGAGAUCAUGAAGCAUCGCUACGACGGAUUCGACAAGGAGAUGAACGCCAACGCAUCGCGCGUCGCCGUCGUGAACCAGCUCGCUCGCCAACUGCUGCACGUGGAGCAUCCAAACUCGCAGGAAAUUCAGGAGAAGCAGAACCACCUCAACAACUCGUGGUCGAAGCUGCGCGAGCAGGCGGAAAGCAAACGCGACGAGCUGAAAUCGGCGCACGGUGUGCAGACGUUCUACAUCGAAUGUCGCGAGACGGUAUCGUGGAUCGAGGACAAGAAGCGCAUCCUCACCGAAACGGACAGCCUGCAGAUGGAUCUGACCGGUGUGAUGACGCUGCAGCGUCGUCUGAGCGGUAUGGAGCGCGAUCUGGCCGCCAUCCAGGCGAAGCUGACGGCGCUCGAGAACGAGGCCGACGCCAUCGAGGGCGAGCAUCCGGAGGAGGCCGCCCUGAUCCGCGAGCGUGUGGCCCAGAUUCAAACCAUCUGGGAGCAGCUCACACAGAUGCUGAAGGAGCGCGACUCGAAGCUGGAGGAGGCUGGCGAUUUGCACCGCUUCCUGCGCGAUCUCGACCACUUCCAGGCGUGGUUGACCAAGACACAGACGGACGUCGCUUCCGAGGAUACACCGACAUCGCUGCCCGAGGCCGAGAAGCUGCUGAACCAGCAUCAGAGCAUCCGCGAGGAGAUCGACAACUACACCGAGGAUUACAAGAAGAUGAUGGAGUACGGCGAGGGGCUCACGUCGGAACCAACGCAAACCGAGGACCCGCAGUACAUGUUCUUGCGCGAGCGUCUGAAGGCGCUGAAGGAUGGCUGGGAGGAACUGCACCAGAUGUGGGAGAACCGUCAGGUGCUGCUGUCCCAGGGUCUGGACCAGCAGCUGUUCAACCGCGACGCUCGCCAGGCCGAGGUGCUGCUUAGCCAGCAGGAGCAUGUGCUCAGCAAGGACGAUACGCCGGUCAAUCUGGAGCAGGCCGAAAAUCAGCUGAAACGGCACGAAGCGUUCCUCACCACGAUGGAAGCGAACGACGAGAAGUUCAACACGAUCGUGCAGGUGGCCGGGCAGAUGACGAGCAAGGAUCACUUCGACGCGGACAAGAUCACGAAGCGCGCGGAGAGCAUUGCGCACCGCCGCGACGACAACCGCAACCGUGCGCUGGAGCUGCACGAGAAGCUUAAGAACCAGGUGAAGCUGCACGAGUUCCUGCAGGACAUUGAAGAGCUGACGGAGUGGGUGCAGGAGAAGUACAUCACCGCCCAGGACGACACCUAUCGCAGUGCGAAGACGGUUCACUCGAAGUGGACGCGUCAUCAAGCGUUUGAGGCUGAGAUCGCCGCCAACAAGGAGCGCCUGCACGAGGCAAAGAAGGCCGCUCAGGAGCUGAUGGUGGAGAAGCCCGAGUUCAAGGAGAUCAUUGAGCCGAAGCUGACGGAUCUGUCCAAGAACUUUGACGAGCUGGAAACCAGCACCAAGGAAAAGGGUGCACUUCUGUUCGAUGCCAAGCGCGAGGUGAUUGUGCAGCAGAGCGUCGACGACAUCGAUUCGUGGAUGGACGAUCUCGAGAAGCAGAUCAUCAACACCGACACCGGCAACGAUCUGACCUCGGUGAACAUUCUGAUGCAGAAGCAGCAGAUCAUCCAGACGCAGAUGGCCGUGAAGGCGCGCCAGGUCGAGGAGCUGGACAAGCAGACGGACGUGCUGACGAAGACGGCCCCGUCCGACGUGGUCGAACCGAUCGUGGAGAAGAAGACGGCCGUCAAUGCGCGCUUCGAAAAGAUCAAGGCUCCGCUGCUGGAGCGCCAGCGGCAGCUGGAGAAGAAGAAGGAAGCGUUCCAGUUCCGGCGCGACGUGGAGGACGAGAAGCUGUGGAUCGACGAGAAGAUGCCGCUGGCCGAAUCGACCGAGUACGGCAACUCGCUGUUCAAUGUGCACGUGCUGAAGAAGAAGCACCAGUCGCUGAACACGGAAAUCGACAACCACGAGCCUCGCAUCAUGACGAUCUGCAACAACGGGCAGAAGCUGAUCGACGAGGGUCACGAAGAUGCGGGCUCGUACGCGGAUCUGAUCAGCCAGCUGACACAGAAAUGGCAGGAGCUGAAGGAUGCCAUCGAAAACCGCCACCGGCAGCUGGACCAGUCCGAGAAGGUGCAGCAGUACUUCUUCGAUGCGGCCGAAGCGGAAUCGUGGAUGAGCGAGCAGGAGCUGUACAUGAUGGUGGAGGACCGCGGCAAGGACGAAACCUCGGCCCAGAAUCUGAUGAAGAAGCACGAAAGCCUGGAACAGUCGGUGGAAGACUAUGCCGACACUAUCCGCCAGCUGGGCGAGACGGCGCGUCAGCUGACGACCGAACAGCACGCCUACAGCGACCAGGUGUCGGUGAAGCAGUCGCAGCUGGACAAACUGUACGCCGGUUUGAAGGAUCUGGCGGGCGAACGUCGUGCCCGGCUGGAUGAAGCCCUGCAGCUGUUCAUGUUGAGCCGCGAGGUGGACGAUCUCGAACAGUGGAUUACCGAUCGCGAGGUGGUCGCCGGUUCGCACGAGCUCGGCCAGGACUACGAUCACAUCACGCUGCUGUGGGAACGGUUCAACGAGUUCGCCCAGGACACGGCCACCGUCGGCAGCGAGCGUGUCGCGAAGGCGAACGGCAUCGCGGACGAUCUUAUCCAUGCGGGCCACUCGGACAGUGCGACGAUCGCCGAAUGGAAGGACGGGCUGAACGAGUCCUGGCAAGAUCUGCUGGAGCUGAUCGAAACGCGCAAGGCGAUGCUGGCCGCAUCGCGCGAACUGCACAAAUUCUUCCACGACUGCAAGGACGUGCUGGGUCGCAUCAACGAGAAGCAGCACGGUGUUUCGGAGGAGCUGGGUCGUGAUGCGGGCGUUGUGUCGGCGCUGCAGCGCAAGCACCAGAACUUCAUCCAGGACCUGAUGACGCUCCACUCGCAGGUGCAACAGAUCCAGGAAGAGUCGGCCAAACUGCAGGCGGCGUACGCUGGUGAGAAGGCGCGCGAAAUUACCAACCGUGAGCACGAGGUGCUCAACGCCUGGGCCCAUCUGCAGGCGAUGUGCGAGGAGCGCCGCGGCAAGCUGGCCGAUACGGGCGAUCUAUUCAAGUUCUUCAACCUGGUCCGCAUGCUGAUGCUGUGGAUGGAGGACCUGGUGCGACAGAUGAACACGUCGGAGAAGCCGCGCGAUGUGUCGGGCGUCGAGCUGCUGAUGAACAAUCACCAGAGCCUGAAGGCGGAGAUCGAUACGCGCGAGGAUAACUUCAGCGCUUGUCUCGCGCUGGGCAAGGAACUGCUGUCCCGCAAUCACUACGCGUCGGCCGACAUUAAGGAUCGAUUGUUGCAGCUCACCAACAGCCGAAACGCGCUGCUACACCGGUGGGAAGAGCGUUGGGAGAAUUUGCAGCUCAUCUUGGAAGUGUACCAAUUCGCCCGUGAUGCUGCCGUCGCCGAGGCAUGGCUUAUCGCACAGGAACCGUACCUGAUGUCGACCGAGCUGGGACACACAAUCGACGAGGUGGAAAAUCUGAUCAAGAAGCACGAAGCCUUCGAAAAAUCUGCCGCUGCCCAGGAAGAACGCUUCAGCGCAUUAGAGCGAUUGACAACGUUUGAGCUCAAAGAAAUGAAGCGUCGUCAGGAUGCGGCCGAGGAAGCCGAGCGCCAGCGGCAGGAAGCGGAAGCGGCAGCACGUGCAGCGGCCGAAGCAGAAGCCGAAGCAGCCCGACAGGCGGAAGCCGCUGCAGCGCGUGAUGCAGCCGAUGCGCCAGGGUCACCACAUUCCACCAGAGAGCAAGAGUCAGUUGCCGGAGAGACGCUCGUGUCGCGGCGACACUCCGGCAUACCGAAAGAACGGUCCAGCAGCUCGGCAAGUGCAUCGGCGGGUGUUAAGGUCAGUCGGCGGUCGCGCUCGAAAAGUCCGUUCCGCAGCUUCAGAUGGAAGCGUACCGCUUCGAAAGCGGACGAGGGAGGAGUCUCCGAUGACGAAGAUCGUCCUAGUCCAGGUGGAGCAGAUGAAGGUGCGCAGGAAGGCAUCCUUACACGCAAACACGAAUGGGAAUCAACCACGAAGAAGGCUUCGAACCGUUCCUGGGAUAAGGUAUAUUGUGUUGCCCGUAGCGGCCGGUUAACGUUCUUCAAGGAUCAGCGAUCAGCGAAAUCGGUACCGGAGCAGACGUUCCGCGGUGAGCCACCGCUAGAGCUGAAGGGUGCCCAGAUUGAAAUCGCCAGUGACUACACGAAGAAGAAGCACGUGUUCAGAAUCAAGCUAUCGAAUGGCGGCGAAUUCCUGCUCCAGUGUCACGAUGAUUCCGAGAUGCAGCAAUGGGUAACGGCUUUGAAAGCACAAUGCGAGCUUGACGCUAGCGGCGAAGGUCGUUCGCUAACGCUGCCCGCUUCCUCUCAGAAGGAUGAACAGAAGAGACGGUCAUUCUUUACACUGAAGAAAAAGUAAAUCGGAAUUUUACCAUUCUUCAACCAUCCAUCCCACCCAUCCAUCCAACCAUCCAUUCUCUCUCUCGUGUGUACGCGCCCCACGCGCCGUUUUGUUUUGAAUUGAUCGUUUGAUUUUGCUAAGCGCCGCGCGCUCUUGGGGAUGGCCCAAUCCCUUCGAAGCUCUCGCCUUCCCCAUAAAGAUUUUGUUUUAUUUGCCUGUGAUUUGUUGUUAUAAUUUUGGAGCCCAAACCCCUUUUAAUGUUACGCGAUCCCACCUCCACGAGGAAAGUAAGCCGCCGAGUAUGUGGACCAACGAUGGGGCACCGGUAUCCAGCGCCCUUCCCUCUAUGGCUUUCCCGCAGUUUUCCCGCGAACUUAAGAAAAUUGCGAAAACAUACAUGAACCCGUUAAACCAGAACAAAAUACAACAACAACUACUACUACUACACCGUCAAGAAACAACUAAAUACUACAACAACAGCUACUACUACUACUACAACAACUACUAUCACUUUAAACAACAAAACCAAAUUUCCUAACCCCUGAACAAGCGCGAGCGCGCGCGCCACCGGCCUCCUUAUUAAGCGACUAGUAAGGCGCUAGCGAGCGCGCGCCCGACGACCAGCUUUCGGUUUGGUUUCACUUGAGUUCUUCCGUUAUUCGUGUCCUGCCAACCAUCGAUAGCAGCGGAGAACCUCGCUGCGCCUCUUCAGCACCCGGAUGCCGGAUGGGGAAACAGGAGCAGGAACUAGAUAAAAGAUAGACGCCAAUAGCAAGCAGCAGCAGCAGCAGCAUCAGCAGCAGUACAAUGAGCAAGUAACGCAAUUGGAGAAGAAGCCUAGCCUAUUAUAGCGUAUCCCAACCGGGGCGAUGCCGUUGGCUUAUCUUUUUUGUUUUAUUCGUUAUUUUCGAUGAGGACAAUAUUUUUACAUACGGAACCAUUUUUUUUUAUUAAUUAUUAUUUUACGUUAUGGACGAACAUUUGGCGCCAUGCGCGAUAAGUACAUUACAGUGUGUCACGAGCAAAAGUGCGGUUCGGUUUUUGUUGUGUGUGUGUGUGUAUGGAGUUAGUGAACGAGUCGUACUUGCUACCUAGUUAUUACUACUUUAGCACGAUUUCAACACAACAAGGAUAGGAAAAAGAAGGUAAAAGGCGAAAUCUAAAUAAACACACACACGGUCAGAUAAAAGAAGAAGGCAACAGGAGGGGGGUUUUUUUUCUAGAGGCCAACUAAAAAGCAAAUUUCAAUGACUAAAACUAAAGAUUGCAAACGGCAUACAAGGAAAACACAACAUUGAUAGUGCAAAUUUCCAACCGUGUGGACCGUGUGGAACACCGACAAAAUGGAUACAAAGAACGAUGUGAAGGUACACACGCAACACACAAACGCACAGCGUGCAUCGUAGUAGUACACAUAUAUUUAUUUAAACGAAUAAUUUAUCAAAGCGAAACCGACAACAGAUGCAAAGAGAUGCUAUGCGUUUGAAUUAUAGAAAUAAAAGAAAAGAAGAAGCAACCUUGAUAAUGCCUGUAUAAGCAGCGAAAGCAGUGCAACGCACAGCACACUACGGCGAGUGAAAUUGAGAGAAGAACAAGAGGCACGGAUGGUGUGAAUGGCGGCUUCCGUUUCGUUUCGUUAAGAAAAGAAACUCGAAAGCGUGCGGUGGUGUGGUGCUGAGAGAGACGGCAGCUUUCGAAUGAUGUGCGUGGUGGAUAUGUAAUCUUUCGAUUUAAAGUCACUUGAAUACAGAUUGUUUAACAGCAGCUUAGCAAAAACACAAAAAUCUUUCUACUCUAUAUUUUUGAAGCCUUUGUUGCUUUUGUCUACAUGUGUCUAGAGCAAAAGCACACAUCGAAGGUCUUUUAUGUGUGUACGCGCAAUAUUGGUGUGUAUAUUUAAACGUUUGCCGCUUGGUCCGCUUCGUCGGGCUGCUAUUUGCAAUGAUUGGAAAAAAAAUAUGAUCGAAGUAGCUAUUGCUUCUGUUGCCGCCUGGGGAAAAUAUUAAACAAUUUACCUUCCAUUCUCUACCCUGCAAGCUACACAAGAGCUCCCCCAACCCUUGGACACGCGUCGCUAUAGCAACCGCCGCCGCUCUGAUGAAGUAAUAAUCGUGCGCGAGCAGUUCAAAGUGCAUGUGCGCGUGCGUAUUAUUUAUUGCAUAAUUAUAUAAUUUAUCUGUUUGUUUGCCGUUUUUUUUUUGUUUUGUUUUUCCCAUCAUUUUUUAUAUUCUUUUAGUAGUAUGCUUAAACGAAAGUAAAUUCAGCGGUUGGUAGUGGUUUGGUGUUGUAGAAACGAAACGCAAUGGAAAUAGUAAGGAGAGGGUAUACACGGAGUUUCGCAGUGCAAAAACAAAACAAAACAAAAAAUCUAGCUAGUAAGAACAAACACUGAUAUAAACAAACAAACAAAUCAAACAACACAACAAAAAUCCUCCCCCUUUCUUUUAAGGCGCACUAAAACAAAACAAACAAACAAAAAAAAGCAAGAGCAAAAGAAAUAAUUAAUGCGCCCGGGGACGGGGGAAAACAAUUCGCGUCGCAUGCAAAAAACCCGCACGGCACUUGAUUUAAGAGAAAUUUAAAUGAAGCAAAAUCGAACGCGCGAUUGUGGAGCUGCGAAGAAGAAGGAAAGGGAGGUAAAUUCAAUCAAAUUUAAAUAUGAAUUAUAUAUUUUUAAACUGCCAGCCCUAUGAUUAGAAAAGCCGCAAGAAAAUGAUACAAAUGCAUAAUUAUUAUUAUUAAUAUAUUAUUAGUCUAUAUAUAUAUAUGAAGCGCGAUGCAAAAACACGAUUGGGAAACGUGUGUGGAAAAGUGGAAUAAAUAAGCAUUACGUUUAAAAUAAGUA